AUUGAACGCUGGCGGCAUGCCUUACACAUGCAAGUCGAACGGUAACAGGUCUUCGGAUGCUGACGAGUGGCGUACGGGUGAGUAAUACAUCGGAACGUGCCUAGUAGUGGGGGAUAACUACUCGAAAGAGUGGCUAAUACCGCAUGAGAUCUACGGAUGAAAGCAGGGGAUCGCAAGACCUUGUGCUACUAGAGCGGCCGAUGGCAGAUUAGGUAGUUGGUGGGAUAAAAGCUUACCAAGCCGACGAUCUGUAGCUGGUCUGAGAGGACGAUCAGGCACACGGGGACUGAGACACGGCCCAGACUCCUACGGGAGGCAGCAGUGGGGAAUUUUGGACAAUGGGCGCAAGCCUGAUCCAGCAAUGCCGCGUGCAGGAUGAAGGCCUUCGGGUUGUAAACUGCUUUUGUACGGAACGAAAAGCCCCGGGUUAAUACCCUGGGGUCAUGACGGUACCGUAAGAAUAAGCACCGGCUAACUACGUGCCAGCAGCCGCCGUAA
rnacentral:rRNA from 1 species